GGAUAGAGCCGACGUAUCUGGCCUGUAUUCAGCCUCUCGGCCGGCCGACCGUCGGCGCCCGGACCCGUUAAUGGGCGGGCGCCGGCCCUUAGGUUGGUCGGGUGGUGCAUUUGCAGGUGGAGUGCGCUGAGCGGCGUGGGCCAGCGGUUGGAGGCGCACCAAGAGGCCUUCCCUUCGGGGUUGGAACCAGGGCGCGUGGAAGACUGUUUGGUUUGCGUUAUGAGGGCGACGGCUUACGCGCGUCGUUGCAGUUGCAAUUCCGACUCGUAACGGUCGCAUGCGACACGUGCUUGGCGGGGUGGCGGCUGCGGCGGCGUGCUCGCUCGCCCGGCUCGGCGUAAAAGUUGGUCAUCUCUCCGACCCGUCUUGAAACACGGACCAAGGAGUUUAACGUAUACGCGAGUCAUUGGGCGCCAAACCCAAAGGCGCAAUGAAAGUGAAUUGACAUGUGAGCAUCCCUUUGGGGAUUGCGCAGCAUGGCCCCGUCCCGACCGCUUGCGGUGGGGCGGAGGCAGAGCGUAUGCGCUGAGACCCGAAAGAUGGUGAACUAUUCCUGAGCAGGACGAAGCCAGAGGAAACUCUGGUGGAAGUCCGAAGCGGUUCUGACGUGCAAAUCG
rnacentral:rRNA from 1 species